rnacentral:snRNA from 1 species
AACCCACAAAGGGUGUUGGU